CCCUCUUUCCCUCCAAUUUUAACUCUUUGUAAGGUUGUUUGAAAGAUGUCUUUUAGCCAUCUUUCAAGCAAACUGUUAACAAAAGAACCAUAUCCAUAUAAUACCUCUUCUAAUGCCCUCUCCUCAAUGCUAAAACCAUUUACAUUUUGAUCCCCAAAAGUUUCCUCGACAUACCUCUUCAUCUUGGAUGAGAGAACCUCUGUCAUCUCCCUGUCCUGAUCUUGAUUUCGAUCGAAAACAUACCGGUUCUUAAUCGAAUCAAGAAACCAAUGUGGAGUUACAGGAUCAGAGGUGGUCUCACGAGUCAAAUCGCUCGAAGUGGGGCUAAAUUCCCCAGGUUUUUCUUCACUUUCAUCAUCCUCAUUGGCCUUGAUGUUGAGAUCAAGUGUGUUGAAGCUUGACUGCCUUGAGAAGUCUUUUUUCAUGUUUCCAUUUUCAACAUCUUUGUUUUCACGGGUUCUUGGAGUCUUGUUCUUUCUUGAAAUGUCCCACUCAGCUUUUCUCUUAUGAUCCUUGUUGGUUGGAGUUUUUUCCUCCACCUCCAAGGUCAUCCUGAUAACAGAAUCUUGAUCCAUCUUUCCAUCUUCAUAGCUCAUGAAAUGGCCACCUGUUGUUAAAAUGAAUAUUGCUUGGCUAAUGUUCCCUGAUUCUCCAAAUUUUCCAGUUUCAAAUCCAUUAGCAAGGAGUUUCAUGAACUGCGUAUCAGCAAAAUCAACAUCUUCCACCAAAGCAACAAUCUUCUCUUGAUUUCUUAAAGUUUUUUCUAUUGUCUCUGAAUAUGUGGCUUCAUUAUCCUUUUUCCUCAUGUUCAUGCAGAGUAGAAAAUCAACAGACCCCAAAACAGACUCUGCAAUUGCAAGGGCCAAUCUUCUUUUUCCUAGAGCGUCAUUGCCUUGGAUAAGUAGCCAAGUCCCUUUUCCAGUUGAUUUGGAUUCAAUCAAAGCUUCUACUAUAGAAUGAAUAGUGUCAGAUUGCCAAGGCACGUUCUCUUGCAAUAACUUGCACAAAUCACUCCUCCCUUUGUCCCUUCCUCCAAUAUCAGUGCAGAAAGAAUUGCCAAGUUCAAGGGUGAUCUUGACUUCCCUACCCUGAGAGUUCUUGAGAGAAUCCAAGUUUGGUUCCCCUGGCAUGUGCUUUUGUGUUUCACUGCCAAAGUUGAAAUCAAUAGUGCAUGACUGUUGACGUCUAAAUUUAGGCACAAAAUUGGAGGUCUGAUUAGGCUUUAGGACCGAAUCUCUGAAGGAGAUUGAAUUUGAAUCUGAGAAGAUGUUGUUUUGGCUUGGCCACCAAGGAUAGGAGGAAGCAUAUGAAUAGCUCUUCCCAAUUAGGCAUUGGUUGUCGUUGUACAAAGUAGUGGAACCUAAAUGACUUUGAAUAUGCCUUCCUUGGUGGUGCAGGCCCUGGCAGAAUCUAUUCCAUUUUCUUCUCAACUCAGCCAAUUCAUCCUUUUGAUUAGCAUUAGUGCCUUGUGGAUGAAGCCAAGAAGGCAAAUUUUUCUGCUGCCCUGGUUUGAAGAGUUGAGCUUCUUUUUCAUAACUGGAGGUGCAUUCUGCACAGCAAGUUAGCUUAUCUUCCUCAUCCUUUCCAUUGGCAAUGAAAGGUUUUGUUUCCAGUAACUGAGAUGGGUUUUGGGAGAAGGUUACCCUUGAUUCAUUGAUACUACAAACAAAACUAAUUAAUGUGUUAGUGAAGAUGCAGAAUUUUUAUAUUAAAGAGGUGUAUGAUCAGACUGUACAGCAUCUUCCCUGAUGAAUCAUGUGUCACUUUUUUUUCGAAAUUGAAUAGAGCAUUACCGAAAAUAUACAGUUCAAAACACAAGAGCGUUAGAGAGGAAAACUUAACCAUUUUUGUCAUUAAAGUAGAAGGGUUCUGCAACAAAGUGAAGGAUUUCAGGUUUCAGUUACAAUGUUUCGCUUAAAUCUAAGAGUUUGACCAAUAAAAAUAUAUUCUAAAGUAGGUCCAUUUUCAAGAAUAUGGUAACUUCCUGGGUUCUCAUGCAAUCCUGAUCCUCUACAAACAGGACAAACAAAAUGCCAAUCCAGGACAGGAUAAAAUAAAAAUAAUUAAUAAUUAAAAAAAUAAUCCCAUAUCCAAAAGGUCAAAAAAAGGAAAAUUUUUUUAUUGGAAAAAUGGAAGUAGCCUUUGUGAAAGUUUCAACAGAGAUGCAUAUCUUCCAAGUGAAUAGUUCCUACGCCUUGAUUCAAACAAAAACACAAAAGAAAGUUGAUCAAAUAAGAAACAUCAAAAAGUAACAAACUUUUUUUAAACAAAAAAAAGGAAGAAAUACAGCAAUCAAAACCUUCCCUUUCCAUUUCUUUUGUUUUGCACUCUUCUUUUAUUACAAAAUCUGCAAUAUGCAGUUGCUAUAUCCUGACACCAGAACAAUGCAAAAGCAUAUAUGCAACGACAGUGAGUGAUUCAUUCUGUCUUACCAAACCGCACUUUUCACAGGUGUUUUGGCCUCAUUCAGACCAUAAAGGCACACACAUAACACUAAACUACAAUCCAAAAUAAAAGCUUCAACCUUCAAUUAAUGGAUGACCAUCAAUGAAUAAUACAGAAUAUAUCCG
rnacentral:misc_RNA from 1 species